UCCCUGGUGGUCCAGUGGUUAAGACUCUGCACUUACGAUGCAGGGUAUACAGGUUUGAUCCCUGACUAGGGAA
rfam:TPA: Bos taurus chromosome 9, whole genome shotgun sequence.